GACGAACGCUGGCGGCGUGCCUAAUACAUGCAAGUAGAACGCACAGUUUAUACCGUAGCUUGCUACACCAUAGACUGUGAGUUGCGAACGGGUGAGUAACGCGUAGGUAACCUGCCUGGUAGCGGGGGAUAACUAUUGGAAACGAUAGCUAAUUCCGCAUAAUAUUGAUUAUUGCAUGAUAAUUGAUUGAAAGAUGCUAUUGCAUCACUACCAGAUGGACCUGCGUUGUAUUAGCUAGUAGGUGAGGUAACGGCUCACCUAGGCGACGAUACAUAGCCGACCUGAGAGGGUGAUCGGCCACACUGGGACUGAGACACGGCCCAGACUCCUACGGGAGGCAGCAGUAGGGAAUCUUCGGCAAUGGACGAAAGUCUGACCGAGCAACGCCGCGUGAGUGAAGAAGGUUUUCGGAUCGUAAAGCUCUGUUGUAAGAGAAGAACGGGUGUGAGAGUGGAAAGUUCACACUGUGACGGUAUCUUACCAGAAAGGGACGGCUAACUACGUG
rnacentral:rRNA from 1 species